CAACACCACGCCAUGGUGGAGAAGCUGUAGAGAAAAGUUGUGGGGAGCCAGCAGGAGAGGCCUCCUGAGCAGGGAGAGGUUGGGGAGAUUGUUUGUUAUUCUUAGGUUCUUGCAGAAGAACCGCUGUCCGGUGGGCACUCGAGUGCUGAAGAGAAGCAGACACCACCAUCACCCUUCAGAAAUGCCUCGCCUGGGUCCUUUCCUGCCCUUCCCAGUGGGAAGGCACCCGGAGGCUGGACCCACCAGUCAGGAGACUGGGAAAGGCAGCAUCCCCUUGACUUCGUGUGUGGCUGGAGGUUUUCCCACCUCAGCACCGGUCAUAGGUUUGAGCCAGGACUUCAGGAACUCAUCGAGGCUGCCUUCAUCCCAGGAGCUCAAGGUGCUCAGCAAAUGGCUGAACUUCAUUUGACCUACAAAACACGGACAUUUGUUUGACAAGAAGAAGGGGAGGUGCAGAGCUGCAAGCAGAAACGCUGGCGUUGCUGGGAAGUAAAGGCAAGGAGAAGAAGCAGAAGGCAGAGGUGGGGGUGAAGCACCCGAGACAGCCCCAUCCCCACACUCUGGUACUGGAGCGUGGGAGGUUCGUCGGUUUGACUUCAGAAAUGGAUCUGAACCAGAGCCAGGCCAAUGUUGGACCUAGACCAGCUUGGGUUUACAGCAGCUUUACAAUAACUCCUUUGCUUUGG